GCGCCAUUGGCUCAAUGGAUAGAGCACCAGGUUGCGAACCUGGAGACUCCUGGUUCGAUUCCAGGAUGGCGCGCCA
rnacentral:tRNA from 3 species